GCGCGCGUAACUCAGUGGUAGAGUGCCACCUUGCCAUGGUGGAUGUCGCAAGUUCAAAUCUUGUCGCGCGCUCCA
rnacentral:tRNA from 1 species